GUUCACCGCCGAAUAGGCGGUUUAGAAA
rnacentral:other from 1 species